CCUACGGGCUGCACCAGUGGGGAAUAUUGCACAAUGGGCGCAAGCCUGAUGCAGCCAUGCCGCGUGUAUGAAGAAGGCCUUCGGGUUGUAAAGUACUUUCAGCGGGGAGGAAGGUGUUGUGGUUAAUAACCGCAGCAAUUAACGUUACCCGCAGAAGAAGCACCGGCUAACUCCGUGCCAGCAGCCGCGGUAAUACGGAGGGUGCAAACGUUAAUCGGAAUUACUGGGCGUAAAGCGCACGCAGGCGGUCUGUCAAGUCGGAUGUGAAAUCCCCGGGCUCAACCUGGGAACUGCAUUCGAAACUGGCAGGCUAGAGUCUUGUAGAGGGGGGUAGAAUUCCAGGUGUAGCGGCGAAAUGCGUAGAGAUCUGGAGGAAUAACGGUGGCGAAGGCGGCCCCCUGGACAAAGACUGACGCUCAGGUGCGAAAGCGUGGGGAGCAAACAGGAUUAGAUACCCGUGUAGUC
rnacentral:rRNA from 1 species